rnacentral:misc_RNA from 1 species
GCACGUAUAGAUGGACAAGAAUAGGCUUCGGCUUAGCGUCUUAGCAGGCGAUUCUUCCACGGCGCUCGAAGCGCGUCGUGGUAUUUCGCGUAUUGUAAUUUCAACACGAGCGGGGUCAAAUCCUUUGCAGACGACUUAGCUGUGCGAAACGGUCCUGUAAGCAGUAGAGUAGCCUUGUUGUUACGAUCUGCUGAGGGUAAGCCGUCCUUCGCCUCGAUUUCCCCAAUGGGUUCUCCGGAUUUCUGGAGACUUGUAGGGGUUGUGGGAUUUUUGAUGUGUCGUCUCCGGACGGGCGGUGCAGGGUAGUCGAGUUAGACUUGGUGGAAUUCCGUCGAUAGGAGUUCCGUCGAGUCUGGUCGGCUGUGUGUUGGACGGUGCAGGGUAGGCUGCUUGGACAUGGUCGGUUCGAGAUCGAUUCGAGGGCCGGCGCCUGUCGAUGAUGUGUGAUGUAUGCGGUCUAGGGUAGGCUGGUUUCGUCCUCGCCAGGUUGCGACUUGGACGAGAUAUGUGGUCUAGGGUAGGCUCUAGGGUAAGCAGAACUCGAGUUUCGUCGCCGACAGUUUUCUGUGGGUGUAUGGUAGGUGCAGGGUAGGCAAAUCUCUCUCCGGCCAGUACUUGUCUGGUGGUCGUGAGUCGAUUUUUUUGUUUUGCCAUACUAUUGAAUUUUGCGGAAAUUCAAAAGUGGCUCGGGAGUCCCGCCUGGCGUGCGUCCAACUCGAACAUCGUCGGUGUACAUAUGAGAGGGAGUAAUCCGGCCCGGCCGGGGCCCAUCGCGAGCUGCCGGGUAGGUAAAAGUAAAAAAGUUGUUAAGAGGCGCGGUGUCGGCGUGCUUGUAUCUGCGGGAGAGAAUUAUCUGGAGGUGCUGGGUAGCCGGGAAUACUUGGACGGAUCUGGGCCCGGGAAUGGGUCUGGGCCUGGAUUCUGGUGUGGUGUAGGGUAGGCGUAGAUAGAUGAGUGGUCUAGGGUAGAUACAGGGUAGCCAGAAGUCUGGUAUAUAGUAUUGGGGGGGUGUAGGGUAGGUCUGGACACCGUUUUCCACUUCGCCCUCCCCUUUACUCGAGGGAGGACGAUCUUGGCUGGGACGGAGGUGUAGGGUAGGCUUAAUUUACGAUUACAUGAUCUGUGUUACUCUAGGGUAGGUGAAAAUCCUAUAUAUAUCUGAUCACAUUUGGUGAAGAGGUGGUUUGGCUGGUGAGAUGGACAAAAGUGCAAUGUAGAAUUAUAUGUGAUUUUGCAAAAGUGGGUGUGAAAUUGGAAAGUCGGUUUUCCCGCACAGAUGAGAGCACGUUUGAGGUGCCAUGAGAUGCACCUCUCCGAGACGACCUCAACGGUACCACCCAUGUGUUGGUCGGGCUCCUGUGCGGCCGUCCAGGGCGGGAUAAGUAGAGAAUGUGGUGGUGUAGGGUAGGUGACCAGGUCCAGGGUAGGUUCGCCAAAUCCGUCAAUCCGGCUUGAAUCGAAGGACAGGUCUAGGGUAGGCCAGAGUCGGGUCUAGGGUAGGCAACCCUCACCCUCGAAGUGGUCUACCCGGUAGCCAACUUCAAUCGCCUCUCACGGCCGCCACGGACCUCGCAUGACGACGGGACUACCACCAUCGGAUUCGCCUUGGUCGAAAUAGCUGGUAUAUGCACUUUUGAAAAAAUGCGUGCAAAAUGGUUUUGUGGUUUGGUGGCCGUGAGUCGAUUUUUUUGUUUUCCCAUACAAAUGAAUUUUGCGGAAAAUAAAAAGUGGCCCACGAGGCAGUCCUGGCGUGCGGCCCACUAAAACGGUCUCGGAGGGUAUAUGAGAAGGGAGCAAAUCCGGCCGAGCCUGAAAGGGUGAGGACAAACCGGGCGAGCAACCUCUCAGUAUCAGAUCUUGCAGACUUCCACUGCGUGUCCCUCUGUACAGCUUUGCAGGCUCCGGCCUCGGCAGCGGGGGGUUCAUAGUGGUCGUCGACCUCCACGAAACUGCACGCUCCGGCGUGACAGCGUACUGGGGAUGCCUGUGUAGAUGCAGUCCGGGCUUGCCUGGACCGCUAGCAGAUGGGCUCUGUGGAUGACUGGCCGCUGGCUAGACCUGAAACCUGAGCAACGGGAGGUAACCUCUCGCCGCGGACACCGGAAUGGUAGAAGCGGCGUGCUGCGUCCUCCUCUUGGGGCCCCUAAGCCACACCUCCCACAGCGGGUUCGGUGCGGCGGACGGACGCCCUGGGGAAUUUAGAGGGGGAAAGCGGAUUGCCCUAGCGGUGUUGUUGGCCCUGCCGACCUCACUGCGAAAGGCGCGACUUCACCGUCGCCACCCAGUAACUUGUCUCUCCGGCGCUUCACGGCGCUGGUGGCCAACCCCGGCACACGA